AAUCUGAGCGAAUCUGGAUGUUUUUGGCCUGGCCUGACCAAAAAUAAUUGAGGAUUUAUGAUUUUCAUCCAUUAUUCCUCCUUUAUAAUAGGCAUCUCCGCUCGCUUCAGCUGAAUCUAGUCCGUGAAGAGAACCCCUAAACCCUAGAAUGGAAGUAGAAACCUCGAGUUCUUCGACGGCAAGCCUCGUUGACAAAGCCGUCGUUCCUGGUGACAUUGUUUUGGACUUUACUAGCAUGUCUGAUCAGACAAUCAGGCUGGGAGCGGGUUGCGCCAGAUCUCUGACGUGCUAUCAGUGGUGAAGGCUGGGAAACUUAAGUUCAAAAAGCCAAACAAGUACUGGGUAGAAAGCUCGCAAAAGAGAGUGAGUUAUUCAUGCUAAAUGUUUCUUUCUUGUGUUCUUCAUGAAAGAAUGAGCUCAAAUUACAUCACUCAGAAGAAAAUUCAAUAAAAAAUGGCAUUCAAAAGUAAAGACUUUCUUA